rnacentral:sRNA from 1 species
AAUAAUUUUGCGUCGACGCAAAUAUCAGCCUAUUAUUUUACAUGUUUUUCCACCAAAUAUUAGGGAAUAUUUUCCUUAUUUCGAUCUGGCUCCCAAUAUAUUUGCCUAUAAUAUUGGGAUUUUUAGGAAAGGUCGAGGCCAGCAAAAUGCAAAAUAAUAACAGCACGUAUAAAUGUCGCAAAUUAGUCCACACCUUCCGGUUACGUAUAUAAAUUGUGCAAUUAACGCGAAUAUAUUGUCUGGGUAAUAAAUUUCGCGCAUAUUAUAGCAGGAGGGGUAUAUAUUUUGGGAACCUGGGAUUUUGCGAUUAAUAAUAUCGGUUUUCCCCUAACGUUAGCACCGUAUUGGCCAAUUUUUAAAAAUAGCGGGUAAGGUGGGGCAGCCCAAAGUGCGAUGGGCUGUCGGGACGACGAAGCCCCGACCCACGUAUUACCCCAGGAAAAUAUAGCGGUUUCCGCUGCCCAGGUUUGUAAUCCUGCCGAAUAAAAAGAAUGUAACCACACCGGGAUUAAUAAAUUAAGCUGCAACGUCCAAGUUAUUCGGAUAUAAUAUAUAUGGCAAGUUUCCAAAUAUGCUGUGCUGUAUAAAUUUCCUGGCCGUAUUUUAUAAUUUAAAAAGAAAGAAAAUUAGACUUUAGCCGCCCUGGACCGGAUCCAGAUAUUAUUAUUAGCAGGGGCAGAUUUCGUAUUGUAAAAUCUAGAAUUUUUAAACCGUUAUAAUGGUUGCCGGUGGGGCUAGCUGCUAUUUGUAUCGCAUAGUUUUAUUAUCCUAUUACGUCGUCCAGUGGAAGACGAUGGCGAAAUUAUCCACAGUUCCGAAAUAAUAUAAUUAAUAAAUUGGGUAUAAUAAAGCUAUAGGUACAAUUGUUUCCCGAUAAUAGUCGCCACAAACGGUUUGUUUUAUAUCGUUAUAAAAUGGUCGUAACCGAAAAAUCUCACUUGUUCGGCAACCACCGCCCUAGGGGUGCCUGGUGGAAUUAUUAAUAUAUUCUAUACGCAUUUUUAUUAUUAAUAUGCGUCGGGUGUAAUCCCAUCCUGUUUCUCCUGCACGUCGAAAAUAAUUUAUUUGCCGCCAUUUCCUUCCUUUUGGACCUCUUUUAAAAACGUUUAUAAAGUUUUAUAAAGCCUAUUUUAAAUGCCGUUACAAAUGAAAUACUGAGAAGAAUAACCGACCGUUUAGUGAGACGACUGAUCCGCAAAUCCGACUUGUUUGCUACUAUUGGAAAAACCCUGUUAAAAAUUAAAUCGGCCUUUAUUAUUUUCGUUAAAGUCCUUAGUUAAGCAAGUUUUCCGUUGUACCUAAUAGCCUUUUCCUCGGCCGCGCUAACCGGGGUUUUGGGAUUGGGGACGUUUUAUUUUUUUGCUCCAAUUGUAUAAAAUGCCCAAAAGCUCAAAUUUUCGAAGGAUAAUAAUAUGUAAAUAUUAUAUUUUUCGGCAAUUGAAUUUUAAUUUGACUGAUUUUUUUACAGUAAGGGUUUGGCGCCCAAAUUUAUGGAAGACGGAUGGUUUUAUAUAAAAUCCCUGCAAAAAUUCGAACAAACGUUAAUUUUAUGGAAGUUGUUUAUUUAUUUCGUGGUUAUUUUUGCUUGGUAUUUUUUGGGUAUAAAAAGAGCGGAUAUCGCGAUAUUCGCCAGAUUAGUACAUUAAAUUAGCUUUGUUAAUAACAAUUUUCAAAAAAUGAACCAGACCUACCAAAAGUCCGCUCGCAUUAUAUAAAAGAUAUUAAUGCAAGGCGGUGUUUUUAUAUAUUUUGCUUUUAUAUGCGCGAAUUUUGCGAUUCGCAGGCGUUUGUAGGGAACGGACAUCGAAAUUCAGUAGGCCAGUAAUUACUAUAUAUUGGGAAUGUUUUAGGCCAGUGCCAGCCGUUAAUGGGCAGAAUAAAAUCUUAAUAAUCGAUGCAUAUAUGCAUAAUAUCGUAUGUUUAUCGGAGCUGCCAAAAAUUGGCAAUAUUAAUCCGUUUUAUACGCAGCUGUUGAACUUUUUAGCCAGGGCUAAUAACCAGAUUUAGGCUCGUUUUAAUUUCUCCACUGUUAGGUGUAUAAAAUAUCCACCCAUUAUACCCUUACGUCUCCACUUUUGCACGCCCUUAUCCACAAACCCUGUUUGCACCGCUGCUGGAGGUGAAGAUUACAGGCGGAAAACACUAGCGUUUUCCAAAGAAUUGUUAGCUAGGAAUAAAAUUAUAAAAGAAGAACCACCAUCCUUUUAAAUAUAUGCAGCUCGAUCGUUUGUAGGGGUCCCAGUAAAUAUUUUAACCCAAUAUUACCCUUUCCCUGCCCAUUAUAUAAGUUUAUUUGGGUUAACGUGGGGAUAUAUCCCAAAAAAACCAAUUUUAAAGAACACCGUCCCUCUCCAUUCUGUAUGCUGUUGCCGAAAAUAUAUAUAAUUGUACAGUUAAGCGCAUAUUUAUCGAUUUGCCGCCCUUGUGAAAGUCUCUCUAUUAUAAUUUAGUUAUUUUGAAAUAAUAUUUGUCCUGAAGCGACCGAAUCGCAUGCUUUUUGGUUGUAAUUCUUCCUUUCCGUUUGACGGUAUAUUUUGGUUAUUAUAUGCACCUACCAAUAUAUAUAUUGGAUAAAUUUUCGUCCGGUUAUUUACUUUCUUCACCUCCAGGCAAUAUUUCCAUCCGGGAAACCACAAUUAAUUAAUAAUACCCUUUAUAAAUGGAAUAUAGCUGCGGUUAUUGGAGGACCAUUGUUGCGGAAUAGUGUGGCCGGUAUAAAAACACGUUUUAAUCGCAUAUUCGAUAUCGGCCAGAAAUAUUAUAUUAUACCAAAAACGAUCAAAUCUGCUGUAGGUUGCCUAAUUAAUACCUGCUGGCUUUAAUAAACCUUUAUAUUUUGCAACAAUUACUAAUAUAUGCGAGCUAUUUGAACUAAUCUUAAUUUUAUAACCCAUUGCUAUAAGCAGUUAAACCCAAGGUCUGUUCCAUGAAUGCCCUCGCGCGAACAAAAUAUAAGAAAGUAAAGCCUACCUCUUCCGUUCCUUUUAAUUUAAAUAUAAACCCAGGUUUGUCCACAAUUUGUACGGUUUGUGUAACAAGGGUAUAAUAAUAUAAGAUAGUAAAGAUGAGGAGAUUUUGAUGAAUAAUAUAAUAUUAUGGUAUGUUUGUACCAACGAGCGCCCCAUUUGCAGAGUACGGUUGGAAAGGAGCCCUAUUUACGGUAUAUUAUACGCACUAUAACGUGGAUGUACAAUAUGUGGGCCAGGACAGUAUAUGGGCCAAUGUUAAGAAAUAUAUACGGCGUUAACUCAAAUGUUAACAUAUGGAAAUAAAGCGGGAAUUGGCUAUUAGUAUUUCAACUGACGUCGCAUAUAAUUUUUAAUAUGGCCCACAUAUUGUACAUCCACGUUAUUAUUAGUUAUAUUCUUUCAAAACUGGAGGUGGUUUCGUUAGCGUCUUCCGCGAAACGACGUAAUCGGAUAAUAAGCUACGCGAUGCAAAUGGCGUUCCGGCAGCGAUCCCCAGUUUCAAUUACCAUGCCAGUUUGAAAGUUUUAAAUUUAGAGAAACACGAAGUUUGCCAUUGCGGACAUUAAUCCGGUGCACGGCGGCAGCCAAGGUUGGAUUUUGACCAUUUGGGUCGCGGAAUGCGACCAUGGUGGGAUGGGUGCCAAAGAUAUCGACGCAUUGUAGCAUGGUGGGAAAGAUGCCGGCUUGCCAGGUAUAUUAUAUCCGAAUAGCUCGGAAACUGCAAUUCAGUUUAUUAAACCCGGUGUAAUUACAUUAUUUUUGUUGCAUGCGGUAGGAUAAUUGUACAAAUCGGGGCAACGCACUGGGUUUAAUUAGUAGUUAAUUAACUUACUAACAUAUCGCAUAAAGAUAGAUUUGUCGACCUAACACCCCAUAUUUGGGCUUCCAACUUUCAAGUUUUGGCUAGUAACCGUGUAAUAUGUUUGCUGUUGGGCCAACUUUGUUAAUAAGGUGGAUUUAACUAACCGUAGCCUCGCAGGUUCCCCAAUAUAUACCCACCCGAAAUGCGGGGGUGGCCGGAACACAGGGGUAAUAAUUUAACAGUAAUAAUUGCGGAAUA